GGCGGCGCCCUUCUGUGUGCACUUCCGGGUUCUGCAGGUACCUGGGUUUUCCCCCCUGUGGAGCGGACCGCUGAGCCUGUUUGAAAGGCCGACUAGGAAGUAAAAUUAGACCGAGACUAUGCUUUGCCUGAGACUCACUGCAGGAUUCCACCUCGCUGUGCUCUGCCUUCAGCCUCAUUUGCCUAAGACGUCACACCAAGUCUUCAGUAUGUGCCUGUCCUGCUGAGGAAGCUGUAGAACAUGUCCAGUUAAACAGCGGCAGACACCUGAUGAAGAACCCUCUUUAGCGCUCAGAUUUCACACACUUGGCUCAACCAAUAGGCUGUCUACAGAGCCAGGUCUGUGGGGAAACCAUGCAUCUGAAAACCACUACACACACUGCUGUGGCCACCAAUGCACUGGCUGCUGCAGUAAGGAGCUCAUGGAAGUCUGAUUCAGGACCUUCAUCCCACUAACCCCCAGGAGCACCAGAGCUUGAGAUGAACAGUAGCUGAAGUGUCUUUGUGCCCUGUGUAAAGGUUAUCGUUGGGGUUUCAAAUGCUGAUUUCUCUGCCCUCACAUCUUGUUUCAAUCUGAACAUGACAUUGUAAUAUUUAGAUAAAAAAAAAAAACCUUCUGUCUCAAGUUCUAUAAACAAAUCUUACCA